UAGGGAAUCUUCCGCAAUGGGCGAAAGCCUGACGGAGCAACGCCGCGUGAGUGAUGAAGGUCUUCGGAUCGUAAAACUCUGUUAUUAGGGAAGAACAAAUGUGUAAGUAACUAUGCACGUCUUGACGGUACCUAAUCAGAAAGCCACGGCUAACUACGUGCCAGCAGCCGCGGUAAUACGUAGGUGGCAAGCGUUAUCCGGAAUUAUUGGGCGUAAAGCGCGCGUAGGCGGUUUUUUAAGUCUGAUGUGAAAGCCCACGGCUCAACCGUGGAGGGUCAUUGGAAACUGGAAAACUUGAGUGCAGAAGAGGAAAGUGGAAUUCCAUGUGUAGCGGUGAAAUGCGCAGAGAUAUGGAGGAACACCAGUGGCGAGGGCGACUUUCUGGUCUGUAACUGACGCUGAUGUGCGAAAGCGUGGGGAUCAAACAGG
rnacentral:rRNA from 2 species